CAGUCGCCGCGGUAAUACGUAGGUGGCAAGCGUUGUCCGGAAUUAUUGGGCGUAAAGGGCUCGCAGGCGGUUUCUUAAGUCUGAUGUGAAAGCCCCCGGCUCAACCGGGGAGGGUCAUUGGAAACUGGGAAACUUGAGUGCAGAAGAGGAGAGUGGAAUUCCACGUGUGGCGGUGAAAUGCGUAGAGAUGUGGAGGAACACCAGUGGCGAAGGCGACUCUCUGGUCUGUAACUGACGCUGAGGAGCGAAAGCGAGGGGAGCGAACAGGAUUAGAUACCCCCGUAGUCCCUGUCUCUUAUAC
rnacentral:rRNA from 1 species